rnacentral:rRNA from 1 species
AUUAAGCACUCCGCCUGGGGAGUACGACCGCAAGGUUGAAACUCAAAGGAAUUGACGGGGGCCCGCACAAGCGGUGGAGCAUGUGGUUUAAUUCGAAGCAACGCGAAGAACCUUACCAGGUCUUGACAUCCUUUGACCACUCUGGAGACAGAGCUUUCCCUUCGGGGACAAAGUGACAGGUGGUGCAUGGUUGUCGUCAGCUCGUGUCGUGAGAUGUUGGGUUAAGUCCCGCAACGAGCGCAACCCUUGAUUUUAGUUGCCAGCAUUUAGUUGGGCACUCUAAAGUGACUGCCGGUGCAAGCCGGAGGAAGGUGGGGAUGACGUCAAAUCAUCAUGCCCCUUAUGACCUGGGCUACACACGUGCUACAAUGGAUAGUACAAAGGGUCGCGAAGCCGCGAGGUGGAGCUAAUCCCAUAAAACUAUUCUCAGUUCGGAUUGUAGGCUGCAACUCGCCUACAUGAAGCCGGAAUCGCUAGUAAUCGUGGAUCAGCAUGCCACGGUGAAUACGUUCCCGGGCCUUGUACACACCGCCCGUCACACCACGAGAGUUUGUAACACCCGAAGUCGGUAGGGUAACCUUUAUGGAGCCAGCCGCCGAAGGUGGGACAGAUAAUUGGGGUGAAGUCGUAACAAGGUAGCCGUAUCGGAAGGUGCGGCUGGAU